rnacentral:rRNA from 1 species
UACGGAGGGGGGCUAGCGUUGUCCGGAAUCAUUGGGCGUAAAGAGCGUGUAGGCGGCUUGGCAAGUCUGACGUGAAAGCCCGCGGCUCAACCGCGGAUUGUCGUUGGAAACUGCCUCGCUAGAGUCCGGAAGAGGAGAGCGGAAUUCCUGGUGUAGCGGUGGAAUGCGCAGAUAUCAGGAAGAACACCCGUGGCGAAGGCGGCUCGUCUGGGACGGUACUGACGCUGAGACGCGAAAGCGUGGGGAGCGAACAGG